AGUAGCGUUAAAGGGGGUGAAAAGCCCCCUCGCCGUAAGCGCAAGGUUUUCUACGCAACGUUCAUCGGCGUAGAGUGAGUCGGCCCCUAAGGCGAGGCAGAGAUGCGUAGCUGAUGGGAAACAGGUCAAUAUUCCUGUACCGAUGUGUAGUGCGAUGUGGGGACGGAGAAGGUUAGCUCAGCCAACUGUUGGAUAUGUUGGUUCAAGCCUGUAGUCGUGCCUGGUAGGUAAAUCCGCCGGGCUUAGAUGAGGGGUGAUAACGAGGCGGCUUGCCGCCGAAGUGAGUGAUACCCUGCUUCCAGGAAAAGCCACUAAGCUUCAGCUACACACGACCGUACCGCAAACCGACACUGGUGCGCGAGAUGAGUAUUCUAAGGCGCUUGAGAGAACUCAGGAGAAGGAACUCGGCAAAUUGACACCGUAACUUCGGAAGAAGGUGUGCCUUUAGUAGGUGAAGUCCCUGCGGAUGGAGCCCAAUGAGGUUGCAAAAAAUCGGUGGCUGCGACUGUUUAAUAAAAACACAGCACUCUGCAAACACGAAAGUGGACGUAUAGGGUGUGACGCCUGCCCGGUGCUGGAGGAUUAAAUGAUGGGGUGCAAGCUCUUGAUUGAAGUCCCAGUAAACGGCGGCCGUAACUAUAACGGUCCUAAGGUAGCGAAAUUCCUUGUCGGGUAAGUUCCGACCUGCACGAAUGGCGUAACGAUGGCCACACUGUCUCCUCCUGAGACUCAGCGAAGUUGAAAUGUUUGUGAUGAUGCAAUCUCCCCGCGGAAAGACGGAAAGACCCCAUGAACCUUUACUGUAGCUUUGUAUUGGACUUUGAACGGAUCUGUGUAGGAUAGGUGGGAGGCUUUGAAGCAGGGUCGCUAGAUCUUGUGGAGCCAACGUUGAAAUACCACCCUGGUGCGUUUGAGGUUCUAACCUAGGUCCAUUAUCUGGAUCGGGGACAGUGCAUGGUAGGCAGUUUGACUGGGGCGGUCUCCUCCCAAAGCGUAACGGAGGAGUUCGAAGGUACGCUAGUUACGGUCGGACAUCGUGACGAUAGUGCAAUGGCAUAAGCGUGCUUAACUGCGAGACUGACAAGUCGAGCAGAUGCGAAAGCAGGACAUAGUGAUCCGGUGGUUCUGUAUGGAAGGGCCAUCGCUCAACGGAUAAAAGGUACUCUGGGGAUAACAGGCUGAUACCGCCCAAGAGUUCAUAUCGACGGCGGUGUUUGGCACCUCGAUGUCGGCUCAUCUCAUCCUGGGGCUGUAGCCGGUCCCAAGGGUAUGGCUGUUCGCCAUUUAAAGAGGUACGUGAGCUGGGUUUAAAACGUCGUGAGACAGUUUGGUCCCUAUCUUCCGUGGGCGCUGCAGAUUUGAGAAAGCCUGCUCCUAGUACGAGAGGACCGGAGUGGACGCACCUCUGGUGUAUCGGUUGUCACGCCAGUGGCAUUGCCGAGUAGCUAAGUGCGGAAGAGAUAACCGCUGAAAGCAUCUAAGCGGGAAACUCGUUUCAAGAUGAGAUCUGCCGGGGCCUUGAGCCCCCUAAAGAGUCGUUCAAGACCAGGACGUUGAUAGGUCAGGUGUGGAAGCGCAGUAAUGCGUUAAGCUAACUGAUACUAAUUGCUCGUGCGGCUUGAUC
rnacentral:rRNA from 1 species